GUCUAUGUCCAUACCAGCCUGAAUGCACCUGAUCUUGUCUGUUCUUGGAAGCUAAGCAGGAUCGGGCCUGGUUGGUACUUGGACGGGAGACAGAUAGGUAAGUAGAUAUAUAUU
rnacentral:rRNA from 1 species